UGCCUCAGUAACGGCGAGUGAAGCGGCAACAGCUCAAAUUUGAAAUCUGGCCUCGCGGUCCGAGUUGUAAUUUGCAGAGGAUGUCUCGGGCGCGAUACCGGUCUAAGUUCCUUGGAACAGGACGUCACAGAGGGUGAGAAUCCCGUACGUGACCGGUGGUCAACCCCGUGUGAGGCUCCUUCNACGAGUCNAGUUGUUUGGGAAUGCAGCUCUAAAUGGGUGGNAAAUUUCAUCUAAAGCUAAAUAUUGGCCAGAGACCGAUAGCGCACAAGUAGAGUGAUCGAAAGAUGAAAAGCACUUUGGAAAGAGAGUUAAAAAGUACGUGAAAUUGUUGAAAGGGAAGCGCUUGCAACCAGACUUGUCCGCGGGUGAUCAACCGUCCUUCGGGGCGGUGCACUCGCCCGCGAUCAGGCCAGUAUCGGUUUCAGCAGCCGGACAAAGACCUGGGGAACGUGGCUCCUCUCGGGGAGUGUUAUAGCCCGGGGUGUAAUACGGUUAGUUGGGACCGAGGACCGCGCUUCGGCUAGGAUACUGGCGUAAUGGUUGUCAGCGACCCGUCUUGAAACACGGACCAAGGAGUCUACCAUUUAUGCGAGUGUUUGGGUGUCAAACCCAUGCGCGCAAUGAAAGUGAACGGAGGUGGGAACCCUUCGGGGGGCACCAUCGACCGAUCCUGAUGUCUUCGGAUGGAUUUGAGUACGAGCAUAACUGGUGGGACCCGAAAGAUGGUGAACUAUGCGUGAAUAGGGUGAAGCCAGAGGAAACUCUGGUGGAGGCUCGCAGCGGUUCUGACGUGCAAAUCGAUCGUCAAAUUUGCGUAUAGGGGCGAAAGACUAAUCGAACCAUCUAAGCGUUCCACUACUAGAUGGGAUACGGGGGCCGAGAAGCCCCCGAGUAGUCCCCGUCGCGGANGGCCACAUCGCUGGUCUUAACGGGAAUGCCCCUUACGAUUGAGGGCCACCCGGCGUGGGUUUCGACCAUUCACAGACUAAGUGACGAUGCUGGGGUGCCCCGNUGGAUAUACGGAUUC
rnacentral:rRNA from 1 species